rnacentral:rRNA from 1 species
AUUGAACGCUGGCGGCAGGCUUAACACAUGCAAGUCGAGCGGGGUUUUCGGACCUAGCGGCGGACGGGUGAGUAAUGCGUAGGAAGCUGCCCGAUAGAGGGGGAUACCAGUUGGGAACGACUGUUAAUACCGCAUAAUGUCUACGGACCAAAGUGUGGGACCUUCGGGCCACAUGCUAUCGGAUGCGCCUACGUGGGAUUAGCUAGUUGGUGAGGUAAUGGCUCACCAAGGCGACGAUCUCUAGCUGGUUUGAGAGGAUGAUCAGCCACACUGGAACUGAGGCACGGUCCAGACUCCUACGGGAGGCAGCAGUGGGGAAUAUUGGACAAUGGGCGCCAGCCUGAUCCAGCCAUGCCGCGUGUGUGAAGAAGGCCUUCGGGUUGUAAAGCACUUUCAGCGAGGAGGAAGGGGUGUGUGUUAAUAGUACACACCUUUGACGUUACUCGCAGAAGAAGCACCGGCUAACUCUGUGCCAGCCGCCGCCGUAAUAC